CCGCUCGUGGGAAACGGAGUGAUAUGCCAGACGGCAAAGUGUUUCAUUUAUCCAGAGUCACGGGGGUUGAUCCUGAGUGAGUCUUCACUUAGACAUGCAGCCCCGUUCCUGGAAAGGAAUUGGUCGGUGUUUAACGAGUGUGAGCAGUGUGGGAACCAGAUCAAGUAACCAGGAGCUGCAGGGUAAAAAGGAUGUUCAGUGGGACAGCAAGUAUUUGGUUUUUACAGCUACUGAAACUGAAAACAGACAAAUCAACCAGCCCUAAACUACCCUGAUGGGAUAUUGUAAUGGCCACUCAUAGGCCAUCAAAGGGCAGCC